rnacentral:rRNA from 1 species
CACGUAGGCACCAAGCGUUGUCCGGAUUUAUUGGGCGUAAAGAGCUCGUAGGCGGUUCGGUAAGUCGGGUGUGAAAACUCUGGGCUCAACCCAGAGCCGCCACCCGAUACUGCUGUGACUCGAGUGCGGUAGGGGAGCGGGGAAUUCCACGUGUAGCGGUGAAAUGCGUAGAGAUGUGGAGGAACACCAAUGGCGAAGGCAGCCUUCUGGGCCAACACUGACGCUCAUGCACGAAAGCGUGGGGAGCAAACAGG